GGGCGGUUAGCUCAGUUGGUAGAGCAGCGGACUUUUAAUCCGUUGGUCCGGGGUUCGAGCCCCCGACGGCCCACCA
rnacentral:tRNA from 1 species